rnacentral:rRNA from 1 species
AACGAACGCUGGCGGCGUGCCUAACACAUGCAAGUCGUACGAGAAAGUUCUUCGGAAUGAGUAAAGUGGCGCACGGGUGAGUAAUGCAUAGGAACGUGCCUUUAGGAGUGGAAUAACCGCGGGAAACCGUGGCUAACACCGCAUAAUCUAGUAAUAGCAAAAGUGGCCUCUAUUUAUAAGCUACUGCCUAAAGAGCGGCCUAUGUCCCAUUAGCUAGUUGGUAAGGUAAAAGCUUACCAAGGCAACGAUGGGUAUCUGGUCUGAGAGGAUGAUCAGACACACUGGAACUGAGACACGGUCCAGACUCCUACGGGAGGCAGCAGUGGGGAAUAUUGCACAAUGGGCGCAAGCCUGAUGCAGCAACGCCGCGUGAGUGAAGAAGGCCUUAGGGUUGUAAAGCUCUUUCGACUGGGAAGAAGGGUAAUUAGUUAAAUAAGCUAGUUAUUUGACGGUACCGAGAGAAGAGGCACCGCUA